rnacentral:rRNA from 1 species
UACGUAGGUGGCAAGCGUUAUCCGGAAUUAUUGGGCCUAAAGCAUCCGUAGCCGGUUCUACAAGUCUUCCGUUAAAUCCAACUGCUUAACAGGUGGGCUGCGGAAGAUACUAUAGAGCUAGGAGGCGGGAGAGGCAAGCGGUACUCGAUGGGUAGGGGUAAAAUCCGUUGAUCCAUUGAAGACCACCAGUGGCGAAGGCGGCUUGCCAGAACGCGCUCGACGGUGAGGGAUGAAAGCUGGGGGAGCAAACCGG